AGUGAACGCUGGCGGUAGGCCUAACACAUGCAAGUCGAACGGCAGCACAGGAGAGCUUGCUCUCUGGGUGGCGAGUGGCGGACGGGUGAGGAAUACAUCGGAAUCUACCUUUUCGUGGGGGAUAACGUAGGGAAACUUACGCUAAUACCGCAUACGACCUACGGGUGAAAGUGGGGGACCGCAAGGCCUCACGCGAUUAGAUGAGCCGAUGUCCGAUUAGCUAGUUGGCGGGGUAAUGGCCCACCAAGGCGACGAUCGGUAGCUGGUCUGAGGGGAUGAUCGGCCACACUGGAACUGAGACACGGUCCAGACUCCUACGGGAGGCAGCAGUGGGGAAUAUUGGACAAUGGGCGCAAGCCUGUUCCAGCCAUACCGCGUGGGUGAAGAAGGCCUUCGGGUUGUAAAGCCCUUUUGUUGGGAAAGAAAUCCUAUCGGUUAAUAACCGGUGGGGAUGACGGUACCCAAAGAAUAAGCACCGGCUAACUUCGUGCCAGCAGCCGCCGUAACAC
rnacentral:rRNA from 1 species